ACAGCAGCCGCGGUAAUACGUAGGUGGCAAGCGUUGUCCGGAAUUACUGGGCGUAAAGGGUGCGUAGGCGGUUUAUUAAGUCAGAUGUGAAAUUCCGGGGCUCAACUUCGGAAUUGCAUUUGAAACUGGUAGGCUAGAGUGCAGGAGAGGAAAGCGGAAUUCCUAGUGUAGCGGUGAAAUGCGUAGAUAUUAGGAAGAACACCAGUGGCGAAGGCGGCUUUCUGGACUGUAACUGACGCUGAGGCACGAAAGCGUGGGGAGCAAACAGGAUUAGAUACCCUGGUAGUCCACGCUGUAAACUAUGAGUGCUAGGUGUAGGGGGUAUCGACACCCUCUGUGCCGCAGUAAACGCAAUAAGCACUCCGCCUGGGGAGUACGGUCGCAAGACUAAAACUUAAAGGAAUUGGCGGGGGAU
rnacentral:rRNA from 1 species